CCCAGCCCCCGUUUAGGGUGGAGCCCAGGGGCGGAGCUGCGCUCUCAGGCUGCCCUCUUGCCCGGUCCCCGGUGCCGCCCAUCCCGCAGGCCCUGUGCCUGCCGCCCAGUGAGAGUGCGGGCAGCCCUAGUGGGCAGAGCCCUGUAGGGUUAAACUGCCCCUCACAGGAGGGAAGCGGACCCCGGGGCCGGGGCACGGCCUCAGCCCUCAGCCCAGAGACAACCACUGGCCCUCGGAGGCAGCUCUGCCGGCUGCACCACCGCACCUGCUCCCACGCUUUGCUGGAAUCUUCUUGGAGUCCCAUCGACCCCUGGGGCCCUGCCGGGGUGCGGGCUCCCUGAACUCCGCCCCUGCCCCCCAAGCCCUGCUGUGUCCGAAGCACCAUGGGAGAGAACGUGAAUGUGCCAGCGAGGCCUCUCCAGCAGCUCGCCAGAAAGUCCUGGGAGGGUUCUGAGCGCACGUCUGCACGUCUGCCCUUCUGCCCAUCCACCAUGAUGGGUCAGACCAGGCUGGGGAAGGGCCUAUGGACAGGCAGCCCCAAAGUGCCUGGCCAUUGCGGCACCCCUGGCAGCCACAUGGCCAAAGACCCUGGGCUGGCUGGGGCUGGGUGCCGGGAGCCGGCGAGAGACAUUCCACUCGUGACAAAGGUCAUGAGGAAGGAGGCUCGGCAUACGCAAAGGCGGGAUCGAGCCUCAGGAAUCCCCCUGGAUAUUCUCGAGCAUCUACCCCCAAAAAACCAGAGUCUGCCUACUUUAUUGCUUUGUGCUCUCACCUCUGACUUUACUGGGGGCUGUCCCCCACCACCAUCUCGCUCUCUCUGUCAAAGAGUUAACUUACAGCUCCAAUUCAUCAAGUUCCUGGGCAAUUAGGAGUGUUUAAAUCCAAACCCCUCAGAUGGCUCUCUAACUCGCCUGACAAGUUUACCCGGACUCCUGCAGCUGUGCGUAGGAUUGUUUAUAGUCUCCCAGCCUCGAGAGGCACGGGAAGCUUAAGAUAUUCAAAUAGCUUAGAGCCUCUCAGAGAGUUAGAAACUGUCAGAAUAAAACUAGUAAAAGAUUUCAUUGAUGAGCCAAUGCUUGUUGCCAAGUUUUCACAUCCCCUGUAUUGUAUCCUUGAAUAUGUAUUAAUUAAUAGUUGGUAUGUAGAAAAAAUAAGUAGUGGCCUUGGUGUUAGUAACUUUAGACCCUUAAGGUAAUAAAUUCUUUCCUGUGUUGUAAACCCAUUACACAUCCGCCCUAUAGGAAUGCAAUUUUAUCUUCGGAAGAUGGCGCCAAACCUUAAUUACGCUUAGAGAAAAUAAGUCUUACGGUUGAUAAGUCUUUGUCAAGAGUCAUAAAAUGUUAAUAGGCCUUCUGGCCAGCAGAUGAUGUAAAUCACCUAAACCAUUUGUAUACGAUAAAUUUGCAGGAAAGAAACCCUGGUUUUUGAUAAGGAUCAAAGACUGCUGACUUUGCAUCCCC
ensembl:lncRNA